rnacentral:rRNA from 1 species
GUGGGGAAUAUUGGGCAAUGGGGGAAACCCUGACCCAGCAACGCCGCGUGAAGGAAGAAGGUUUUCGGAUCGUAAACUUCUAUCCUUGGUGAAGAUAAUGACGGUAGCCAAGAAGGAAGCCCCGGCUAACUACGUGCCAGCAGCCGCGGUAAUACGUAGGGGGCAAGCGUUGUCCGGAAUGAUUGGGCGUAAAGGGCGCGUAGGCGGCCUGGUAAGUCUGGAGUGAAAGUCCUGCUUUUAAGGUGGGAAUUGCUUUGGAUACUGUCGGGCUUGAGUGCAGGAGAGGUAAGCGGAAUUCCCGGUGUAGCGGUGAAAUGCGUAGAGAUCGGGAGGAACACCAGUGGCGAAGGCGGCUUACUGGACUGUAACUGACACUGAGGCACGAAAGCGUGGGGAGCAAACAGGAUUAGAAACCCCGGUAGUCC